AGAAAAAGAGGACCACUCAAAGAAGGAUGGAGCUGACAGUGACCAUGAUGAUUCAGCUGAAAAUGACAGCAAAAGAUCAGGAAAGGACAAUGACAAGAAACACCGAAAGCGGCAUCAGAGUGCCCAUGAUAGCUUGGAUGAAAAUGAGAAAGAUCGAUCUAAGAACCCCCAUAGACAUAACAGCGAUCGCAAAAAACCAAGAAGGGUAUGCUGAGUUUUGUUAUCUCGUGCAUAAGAAUUUUGUCACCUCUAAGUUUGUUGAUUUGUUAUCAAUUGUGAAUGCUAAUACAACAAUUCUUUAUUCUUAUUUUCUAAUAUAUGCUUUGCUUGAUGUAGCUUGCAUCAACACCUGAAUCUGAAAAUGAGAGCAGGCAUAAGAGACAUAGGAGGGAUAAUCGUAAUGGUUCUCGUAAAAAUGGUGAUCAUGAAGAUCUUGAAGAUGGGGAAUAUGGUGGGGAAAGUCGGUAGACAUCUUAUUCUGCAGGUUUCUCAUUAUUUCCAUUUUUCUCAUAUUUGGGGUAUUCCCAUAUUUG
rnacentral:lncRNA from 1 species